CAGUAGCCGCGGGAAAACGUAGGGUGCGAGCGUUAAUCGGAAUUACUGGGCGUAAAGCGUGCGCAGGCGGUUAUGUAAGACAGGUGUGAAAUCCCCGGGCUUAACCUGGGAACUGCGCUUGUGACUGCACAGCUAGAGUAUGGCAGAGGGGGGUGGAAUUCCACGUGUAGCAGUGAAAUGCGUAGAGAUGUGGAGGAACACCGAUGGCGAAGGCAGCCCCCUGGGCCAAUACUGACGCUCAUGCACGAAAGCGUGGGGAGCAAACAGGAUUAGAUACCCCCGUAGUCCCUGUCUCUUAUAC
rnacentral:rRNA from 1 species